rnacentral:miRNA from 4 species
UCGGACCAGGCUUCAUUCCU